GAGCAAAGUAAUUGCUCGAUUGAUUGAUUGCAGUUUGAUGGAAGGAAGGUUGCUAGAUCUAGGAUUUCUAUUCAAGUAAUCAGAAUUAUAAUGCUACAGAUGCCUAACAAGUUGUAUGCAUAAUAUUAUAGAGCUCAACACUUAUAAACAAACCGAUAGGCUUUCGCUUUCUAGGUUUGUCUAUUGACCAAUGUCGAUCGAUUAUUCUAUAGGA
rnacentral:lncRNA from 1 species